rnacentral:tRNA from 4 species
GGGCGUGUGGUCUAGUGGUAUGACGUCGGCUUCGCAUGCUGAAGGUCCGGAGUUCGAUUCUCCGUUCGUCCA